rnacentral:lncRNA from 1 species
AGGAGCUGUGAUUUAUUGGAGUAAUAGAGUAGCCGCCAAGAAAAAAAUAAAAAUAAAUAAUAAUAAGGGCAGCUCGGUUUGGUUAAGGAGAAAAGCAGCAUGAAGGCAUAGCUGGAGUUGAACUACAAGAAUAAAACUAAGUUAAUUCAAUCUUUCUUUCUCUUCCCUGCUCCUCCACCUGGUCUCCUUCUUGCUCAAUUUCCUGCCGAACAAGCCCAGUCCCUCUUUACCUUUCAGUUUUGCCGAAUCAAGCUCAUCCCGUCUAUCCUCAGUUAGCUAGGUCCAGAUAAGUGAGUAGCAAGGUGUUAAACAAGCUCUAGCAAAUCAAAGGAAGAGCAUACAAGGAAUUGCAAUAAAUAAGCAAGGUAACAACAAUUAAUGAUUUGUUAAUAUUACAGUGUAUGUAUAUGGUUAUCAGUUAGCAAUUAAAAUUGAUUGGGUUAAUUAUGUUAUGAGCUAUGGCCAAAUGAUUAGGCAACAAAAAUAAAGAUAUGACAGUAGGUAUAUCUUGAAUUGAGGUAAGAAACUAAAAGUUAAGCUCAUAUUUAUGCAAAACAGUUAGUUAUAAGGAAAUUCAAGUUAGUUUGGCAAAGACAGGUAAUUUAUGAAAUGGGUAAGUUAACUGACAUAAAUUGUGGUAUGUAGCAAUAAUGAUAUGUGAUAUAGCUAAUUAUUAUCAAAUGAAGUGGAGUAUACAAAGUUUACUUAAAGUUAGUAAACUAGUUAAUGCAAGUAUAUUCAUGUAUGGUCUUCGUUAAAAAUUGGAUCCUUGUGGACUGAAUAAGAGCCAUGGAGAUUAGCGUGGUUGUGCAGAGUAAUAAGGUGGGAAAAAUUGGGCUAGAACACAAACCAAGCUCUAUGAAAACUGAAUUUUAAAGCGACACACACUAUGUGUUCGCUAAAACUCCUCUAAGGACUGUUUUUGUUAAAAAAUGAAAACUAAGCGAAGCCAAGACCUGAGUUAUAUAUAUACACAUUAUAUAUAACUAAUUAGAAAGUUUUGGUGAAUCGAAUUAAGAGAGGAAACAUUUUUGAGACAUAACGAAAAGUUGAAAACUAGUUUGGCUACUGACCUUGAGGCCAAUUUCGGGACUAGUUAUAUUUCUAGAAAAAUUCUGGGUUUUUGGGGAAGUAUAGUACACUGAAUAAGGAAUUCAUAGCCUCUAGAAUGGACUAAUUCCGACCUCGGAGGAGAGAGUUAUGACAUUCCAAAGUAAACGUGUCAAAUCUGUCCAAAAUCUGGAAAUCAGAUUCUGACCAGCCCGUUGCACGAAUUUUCUGGAAUUUUGUGUUAUGAAUUUGAAAAUGGUCAAAGAAUAAAAGUUGUAGUUCCGGAAGUUAGCUUCGCGUGGGCAUAAGAAUCGCUCAAAAAUGUUUUGAAACGAAAAAGUUGUGACUGUUUUAGCGAAAAAGGGUAAAGCUGGAAAUGAAUUGAAAACUGUUAUGAACGUCCACUUUUGACGUACUGUUUGGGCUGCCUAAUGAACCCGAAUUGGGUAACUCGUAUUUUUUAAAAAUAGUCUUACAUACCAUGUAUAACAUAUUCAAAAAUGAGCGCGAUCCGACAUGCGAGCUAAAAAUGGAAAAAUUGCAGAGUAGCCGCGUCGCGGAGGGGGCUGCUGCCCACAGCAGCAGCAGCACACAGACAGCAGCAGCGCACAAUAGCAGUUGGCUGGGGGCUGUUUUGGCCUCUUGUUUAACGCGUCUAAAUUACCCAAAAUGUUCGGUUAGCAUUUUUUAAAAAUAGGUGGACAUACCACCUAUAGCAUAUCCAAAAUUGGUCGGGAUCGGACGAAUGAGACGGAAACUAAAAAUAUGCAAAGUGGACGUAAGAACAUGUUCGUUGGCGUCGUGACACGUAUUUCAAGGUGGAGACACAGAUUUCGAGGUUUUUGACAGUUUCACGUAUUCUGAGGCAUCGAGGCGGAUAUAGAACGCAGUUUAAAACCUAUAUAACAUGUACAACCGUUUGAAGCAUACUAGACGCUAUAAAAGCAAUAUGUAACAUGUACAUGGGUAAUAUAUCCGUGAGAUAGGAUAUGUUGACGUUAAUGAAAGCUAUUCCAAAGUUAUACCUCGGAACUGAACGGUUUUUGAAAUACAAAGCGAUAAUUGUGUAAACGGAGUUGAAAAUUCAACGCUUGACAUUAAUAAGGUAUGUGUAGGUAUAAGACAUACAAAUAGCAUAUGUCUACCUACAAACCAAGUAAAUGAGGCAAUGUUUGACAUUAUAAGAGACGCGUAUAUGCAAAAACAUAUAUGUACUUCAUGUGUACAUGAAAUGGGAAAAAGUAAUGUAAUAUGAACGCAUUAAGCCUAGAAAGCUAAUAUUCGUGUGAAAUAGUAUUUAAAUUACUCACGAAAGCGAAAAUAAGAUAUAAUUAUGCAAAGUAAAGGCACAAAUGCACUAUAUGACUAUAAGUCUACAUAUAGAUACGUGUAAAGUCUGUAAAUGCAUUAUAAAAGGGUUAUAAACUGUAAAUGUAAUGAAUUGACAUUGUAAAAGCCGUGUUGGAACUUUUUGAGAAUGUAUAGCUAUAAUAAGCCGAAACCUAAAAUAUUCUAAAGGAAUAUGAAAGUUUCUUAGAAAUAAGAAUAUCAGAUAUUGAUAUAGUUUAUGUGAAUAUUGUUAGCUAUACAGGUUUUGGGAUAUGAAUCUGUGACUAAUGUAUGUAUACAUGUGAACAUAAUUGUGUAGGAUUCGGGAAGCGAAGUUAAACAAAAGUUUGUAUCAAUAGUCAUUGAACGAGGCAAGUUUUUCAGUUCUAUUAUGUUUGUGGAUUAAAUGUGAUUAUGUGGUGAGUUACAUACCGUGCUUUAUGAAUUGUUAAAGUCAAAAUAUGACUAAGUUAAUUGGGUUAUGGAACUCAAUUUAUAUGUGAUAUGUGAUAGCACGUGUUGUAUAAUGUAACUCGAUAAAUUAGAAAUGUAUAAUGCAUGAAUGUAUGCUUUGCAAGGAAUUAUUGAUGCAUGUAGGAUAUGCAUGGUAAAGAAUAUAUGUUGCAUGUGGAUAUGCAUAGUAAAGGAAAUAUAGUGCAUAUGGAAUUGUGUGCUAUGUGAAACAUGAUAGACUGUUAAAUUUGCUGGGCUGUCGAGCUCAAUCUUGCAAACACAAACUUUUUGCAGGUUAAUGAUGUUAAGUAAUAUUACUUGCUAUACAGAUGAUGAAAAUUAAACGAUGUGCAAAAUGAAUACAUUUUCUUAAAUUAGAAAUGGUAUAAAUUUAUGAUUGAUAGUUUUGUCAAAUGUAAAUGGGCAGUUAUGUAUAGUUUAAAAUGUUGAAUGGAUAAAUAAUGUUUAUUCUGAAAUGAGAAUAAAUAUGAUUCUAGUAUAAAGAAGAAUUGUAAAGGUUGCGAUUCAGGGAAUGAAUGAAUGGAAAUAAAGAAGAAAACAAAAAUUAUUCCGCAUUUUUUAGCUAUUUUAACAUUAAAUAAUGUUUUAAAGCUAUAACAAGGUAGUAUUAACGCACAAGAUCGGGAAGGGAAAUGGUCCCGAUUUUGGGGUUGUUACAGUUGGUAUCAAAGCUAUAGGUAUGAUAUAUUGGUAUUAUAUAUUUAUUAUAUGUAAAUAAAUUAUAGGGGUAAUUUAUUAAAGAAAAUGAGAUGGGUAGAAUUAAAAUAAUUUAUAAGAAAAUUGUUUUAAUAUAAGAAAAAAUUGCACUUAAUAUAUUAUCCUAUUAGAAUUGGAAAUCAGGUAAAAGAUACUAUUUACGCUUUGUGUAUGUAACAAAUGACAUGUCAUUAAUUGGGUUAUUGUUGGUAAGUUAGUUUUUAUUUUAUAAGAAGUAAAUAAAAACAAUGAGAAAUCAGAUAUAAGUCCAGUAUGAGCUGGAGGAAGGAUAGCAAUUUGGUGAACGGUAAGACUGUUUUAGUACGAGCUGUCCAUGUAUUGUGCAUAGUUGAAUGGUUUUACGAAUUUAAUUAGCAUUCUAUUUAAAUAGGAAGUAUGUAAACUUCUAUGCUUUCAAAGAAUGGCAUAAUAAGGUGUGUAAUUGCAGCUAAUUAUCGAGCAAGGGGGGAGGCAAGUUGCUGCACAUUUGCAGCAACAGUUGUUAGCUAACUGCUAAUGCAAUGUAAAGCCACACUAAAAUUUAUUAAAUCCCACAAUAAAAACUAUAUUGGAACUUGUUGAGCGAAAUAUGAUUAUAUAUUAAGCUGAAACUUAAAAUAUUUGAAAAAGAAUAUGGAAGUUUCCUAGAAAUGAGAAUAUAAGUUAUUGAUAUAACGUAUAUGAAUGUUUAAUAUCUAUACAGGAGUAUGUGGCUAAUGUAUGCCUACAACAUAAUUGUGUAGGAUUCGUGAAGCGAAGUUAAACUAGCUAAAGUUUGUAUCAAUGGUCAUUGAACGAGGCAAGUUUUUCAGUUCUGUUAUGUUUGUGGAUGGAAUGUGGUUAUGUGCUAAAUUACAUAUCAUGCUCUAUGAAUUGUUAAAGUCAAAAUAUGACUAAGUUAAUUGGGUUAUGAAACUCAAUUUAUAUGUGAUUUGUGAUAACACAUGUUGUAUGAUGUAACUCGAUAAAUUAGAAAUGUAUAAUGCAUGAAUGUAUACUUUGUAAGGAAUUAUUGAUGAAUGUAGGAUAUGCAUAGUAAAGAAUAUAUGUUGCAUGCGGAUAUGCAUAUUAAAGGAAAUGUAGUGCAUAUGGAAUUGUGUGCUAUGUGAAACAUGAUAGACUGUUAAAUUUGCUGGGCUAUCGAGCUCAAUCUUGCAAACACAAACUUUUUGCAGGUUAAUGACGUUAUGCAAUAUUAUUUGUUAUGCGGAUGAUGAAGGAUGAAGGAUGAAUGAUGGACGAAAUGAAUACAUUUCUUUGAAUUAGAAAUGGUAUAAAGCUAUGAUUGAUAGUUGCUAAAUAUAAUUGGCAGUUAUGUAUAGUUUGAAAUGUUGAAUAGAUAAAUAAUGUUUAUUCUGAAAUGAGAAUAAAUAUGAUUCUAGUAUAAAGAAGAAUUGUAAAGGUUGCGAUUCAGUGAAUAAAUGAAUGGAAAUAAAGAAGAAGAAAAAUUUAUUCUGCAUUCUUAGCUAUUUUAACAUUAAAUAAUGUUUUAAAGCUAUAACAAGAUAGUAUUAACGCACAAGAUUGGGAAGGGAAAUAGUCUCGAUUUUGGGGUCGUUACAGAAGUAGUACGGGAAGAAGAAUUCAAAUUGAGUUGUAAAGGAUAGCAUACGAAUUAAAGAAAAUUCGUAUUAAGUAAAAAGAAAGUUAGAAGUUGUAAGAUUUCAAUUGAGGACUCAUGUGAUAGCUGAGUUAUAUGAACCUUUGUAUGGGCAAAGGUUUGUGCUUGGUGUAACAACCACUCGGUUUAUUACAGUGAUAAUC